UUUCAAUGUCAGUGACUGGGUUAUCCAUGUAUGCUGCUUUGGCUGUGACUGCGUCCAUUACUGUCAUCUACACCUCCAUUGGCGGGUUGAAGGCUGUCAUCUGGACUGAUGUGCUGCAGUUCACAAUCAUGAUGGCGGGAAUGCUGGCAGUUAUAGUUAAGGGUACGCUGGAUGCAGACGGGAUUGUGGAGCUUUGGGGCCGUGCAGCAGA